rnacentral:rRNA from 1 species
UACGUAGGGUCCGAGCGUUGUCCGGAGUUACUGGGCGUAAAGCGCGCGCAGGCGGCGGUGUUGGCCCGGCGUGAAAGCCCCCGGCUCAACCGGGGAGAGUCGUCGGGGACCGCACCGCUUGAGGGCGGUAGGGGCCGGUGGAAUGCCUGGUGUAGUGGUGAAAUGCGUAGAGAUCAGGCAGAACACCUGGGGCGAAGGCGGCCGGCUGGGCCGUCCCUGACGCUGAGGCGCGAAGGCGUGGGGAGCGAACGGG